rnacentral:rRNA from 1 species
CUACGGAGGGUGCAAGCGUUAUCCGGAUUUACUGGGUUUAAAGGGUACGCAGGCGGUAAUUUAAGUCAGUGGUGAAAGCCUACAGCUCAACUGUAGAACUGCCAUUGAAACUGAAUUACUUGAGUAUGGUAGAGGUAGGCGGAAUACAACAUGUAGCGGUGAAAUGCAUAGAUAUGUUGUAGAACACCGAUUGCGAAGGCAGCUUACUAACCCAUUACUGACGCUCAUGUACGAAAGCGUGGGGAGCGAACAGGAUUAGAAACCCUAGUAGUCC